rnacentral:rRNA from 1 species
AUUGAACGCUGGCGGCGUGGCUAAAACAUGCAAGUCGAGGGAGAUCCCCGCAAGGGGUGAAACCGGCGGACGGGUGAGUAAUGCAUUCGAACGUGCCCCGAGGUGGGGGAUAGGUCGGGGAAACCUGGCGUAAUACCCCAUGAGCUCUUCGGAGGAAAGCCGCAAGGCGCCUUGGGAGCGGCGAAUGUCCUAUCAGGUAGUUGGCGGGGUAAAGCCCACCAAGCCUAUGACGGUA